CUUUGACCAGAUCACACUUUAUAAUAAGAUCAGAGGCAAAGAACUCUGACCAGAUCACACUUUAUAAUAAGAUCAGAGGCAGAGAACUUUGACAACUAUCUCCUUGCCCUCUGGCCCUGGGGUCAGGGCUACUCAAACAACACCUGCUGUCCCAAACCCGGAGAAGUGUAGAUUUUGGCACUGGUAGAGGAAUAACAGCUAUUGUUGACACUUAAUCUUGUGGGCCUGGAAUUUCAACUAUGUUUUCACAACUCGGAGCCUAUUGCUGCCACCUCUGUCAGGGAAGAUAAAUGGGCAUGAAUAAUAGACAGAUGAGUUUCCCAAAAGCCCAGACAGGCUGCAGGGAACACGUAAUGAGCAGACAGUGUGGUUCACGCCGGGGAGCCCAGGUUUAUCCAGGCCUCAUCCUCACUCCCUUUCUCUACUGAUAAUUGGACCCAACAGGACCAUUCCGAAUCAUUUUUCUCUCUUCAGUUAUUCUUCAGUUCUACUCAAAGGAUGAAGAAAGAUGAUACGAUGUGAUGG
rnacentral:lncRNA from 1 species